AGAGUUUGAUCAUGGCUCAGGAUGAACGCUGGCGGCAGGCUUAAUACAUGCAAGUCGAACGGUAACAGUACUAGCAAUAGUAGCUGACGAGUGGCGCACGGGUGCGUAACGCGUAUGCAACCUACCCAUAAUUGGAACAUAACGUUGAGAAAUUGGCGCUAAUAUUCCAUGUGAAUAUGAUGAGGCAUCUUAUUAUAUUUAAAGAUUUAUUGAUUAUGGAUGGGCAUGCGUAUCAUUAGCUUGUUGGUGAGGUAAUGGCUCACCAAGGCAACGAUGAUUAGGGGUUCUGAGAGGAUAUCCCCCCACACUGGAACUGAGACACGGUCCAGACUCCUACGGGAGGCAGCAGUAGGGAAUAUUGGGCAAUGGAAGCAAUUCUGACCCAGCCAUGCCGCGUGAAGGAAUACAGCCCUAUGGGUUUUAAACUUCUUUUAUUAUAGAGUAACCGGAGGUACGUGUACCUCCCUGCAAGUAUAUGAUGAAUAAGGAUCGGCUAACUCCGUGCCAGCAGCCGCGGUAACACGGAGGAUCCAAGCGUUAUCCGGAUUUAUUGAGUUUAAAGGGUGCGCAGGCGGACCAAUAAGUCAGGGGUGAAAAAUUUCAGCUUAACUGGAAUCGUGCCUUUGAUACUGUUGGACUAGAGUAUAAUUGACGUGACUGGAAUGUGAUGUGUAGCGGUGAAAUGCUUAGAUAUGUCACAGAACGCCAAUCGUGAAGACAGGUCACGAAAUUAUUACUGACGCUCAUGCACGAAAGCGUGGGGAUCAAACAGGAUUAGAUACCCUGGUAGUCCACGCUGUAAACGAUGAUUACUCGUUGUUGGGCAGUGAUGCUCAGUGGCUAAGCGAAAGCGAUAAGUAAUCCACCUGGGGAGUACGAUCGCAAGGUUGAAACUCAAAGGAAUUGACGGGGGCCCGCACAAGCGGAGGAGCAUGUGGUUUAAUUCGAUGAUACGCGAGGAACCUUACCCGGGCUUGACGUAGACGAUAUAUAGAGAUUAUAUAGCCUUCGGGCGUCUUGCG
rnacentral:rRNA from 1 species